rnacentral:rRNA from 1 species
AUUGAACGCUGGCGGCAUGCUUUACACAUGCAAGUCGAACGGUAACAGGCCGCAAGGUGCUGACGAGUGGCGAACGGGUGAGUAAUGCAUCGGAACGUGCCCAGUCGUGGGGGAUAACGCAGCGAAAGCUGCGCUAAUACCGCAUACGAACUAUGGAUGAAAGCGGGGGACCGAAAGGCCUCGCGCGAUUGGAGCGGCCGAUGUCAGAUUAGGUAGUUGGUGGGGUAAAGGCCCACCAAGCCAACGAUCUGUAGCUGGUCUGAGAGGACGACCAGCCACACUGGGACUGAGACACGGCCCAGACUCUUAAGGGAGGAAGCAGUGGGGAAUUUUGGACAAUGGGCGCAAGCCUGAUCCAGCAAUGCCGCGUGCAGGAAGAAGGCCUUCGGGUUGUAAACUGCUUUUGUACGGAACGAAACGAUCCGGGUUAAUACCCUGGGCUAAUGACGGUACCGUAAGAAUAAGCACCGGCUAACUACGUGCCAGCAGCCGCAGUAAAAC